rnacentral:misc_RNA from 1 species
AAGACUAUAGACCUGCGGAGUACCUGCGGAAGGAUCAUUAUUGAAUUAUGUUUCUAAAUGGGUUGUAGCUGGCUCGUCAGAGCAUGUGCACGCCUGUUUGGACUUCAUUUUCAUCCACCUGUGCACCUAUUGUAGUCUUUGGCUGGGUAUCAAGGAAGUGGUCAGCCUAUCAGCACUUGCUGGAUGUGAGGACUUGCAGUGUGAAAGCUUUGCUGUCCUUUACUUGAUCAUGGAGUUGUU